UCUCUGAUGUGAUUGGUCAAAAGACCAAUUAGUGGGAAAAUAUUAGAAUCGUCAGCCUGUCUAAACGCAGCAUAACUAAUUAGGAUAAAAUAUUUUCUAACAAUUGGAGGUAUAUUUUUUACCAAUCAGAGCAGCUUUUUAGCUAAUAAUUGCAAUAACAUAUCUGUAGAUUGUGGUUACUACAUGCUGUGGCCACUGCUAUUGAGGCUACUAGCGCUGUCUCUGCUCCACACUCCAGCACAAUAAGUGGCGGUAAUACAUCAACGAAGGAUGCUAACAGCCCCCCCCCCCGAACAACAAAAUAACCACAGGAGAAGGCUGCUAGGUAGUGGCCUUUGUCCCCGCCGACAUGUACUGCUUUCCGGCAGUUCUGUUAACAGUACGCCCAGAUGAGGAGGAAGAGAGGAGAAGGAAGCGAGAGGAGUAGGGAGGGAGGAGGGAUGUAACCUUGACUCAGAUUACCAGCCGGCACACAGGCAGGAAGGAGGAAAUGUCACCAUGGCAACACAAACCACCAGCAGAUCCUCUUAUCCAGAGUGACUUACAGUACUGGCCCCCCGUGGGAAUUGCACCCACAACCCUGGCGUUGCCAGCGCCAUAAUCAGCCAUGCUCAGCCAUGCUCAACUGAGCCACAAGGGACAACUUUAAACCCACUGCAUUAGAGAUUGGCAUUUUAUGUUUUUUGACAGUUCGAGUACCUCACAUGAUUUAUUUUAGUACACAAAUUUAAUAAGGUAUAUACAGUACUUUGCAAAAGUAUUCACCCCCCUUGGCGUUUUCACAUUUUGUUGCAUUACAACCUGUAAUUGAAAUGGUUUUU